GUGCUUACUUUGGUGGCACAAAAGUGGAACGAGGCAGAGAAGAUUCGCAUGGCCCCUGCACAAAGAUGACAGGCAAAUUUGUGAAGUGUUCCAUGUGAAG
rnacentral:snRNA from 1 species